rnacentral:rRNA from 1 species
GACGAACGCUGGCGGCGUGCUUAACACAUGCAAGUCGAACGGAAAGGCCCUGCUUGCAGGGUACUCGAGUGGCGAACGGGUGAGUAACACGUGGGUGAUCUGCCCUGCACUUCGGGAUAAGCCUGGGAAACUGGGUCUAAUACCGGAUAGGAGCCAUUUUUAGUGUGAUGGUUGGAAAGUUUUUUCGGUGUAGGAUGAGCUCGCGGCCUAUCAGCUUGUUGGUGGGGUAAUGGCCUACCAAGGCGGCGACGGGUAGCCGGCCUGAGAGGGUGGACGGCCACAUUGGGACUGAGAUAAGGCCCAGACUCCUACGGGAGGGAGCAGUGGGGAAUAUUGCACAAUGGGCGCAAGCCUGAUGCAGAGACGCCGCGUGGGGGAUGACGGCCUUCGGGUUGUAAACUCCUUUCGCUAGGGACGAAGCUUUUUGUGACGGUACCUAGAUAAGAAGCACCGGCUAACUACGUG